rnacentral:rRNA from 1 species
UACGUAGGGUGCGAGCGUUGUCCGGAAUUAUUGGGCGUAAAGGGCUCGUAGGCGGUCUGUCACGUCGGGAGUGAAAACUCGGGGCUCAACUCCGAGCUUGCAGUCGAUACGGGCAGGCUAGAGUUCGGCAGGGGAGACUGGAAUUCCUGGUGUAGCGGUGAAAUGCGCAGAUAUCAGGAGGAACACCGAUGGCGAAGGCAGGUCUCUGGGCCGAUACUGACGCUGAGGAGCGAAAGCGUGGGGAGCGAACAGG